CAGUGAUCAAGUUUUGUAUGACAAUAUACAUUAAUACGGUACGAUGUACAAUGCAAUAUUUAUGUGAUAGAAUGUUUAAAUGAUGAAACAAUUUUAUGACCUAAUUUACAUGUAAUGUGGAUAAAACCCGGGAAAUCCUGAAGAAACGUUUGUGCCCGUGAGCUAAGCUAAACAAUGGGAUUUGCAACUGUCUCAAAGUUAAUAACUUAAAAAAUUUCCACAGUGUAACCAGUGAUGAGAUUCAUGAUUAAAAAUUUCUAACAAAUUGGUUUGGCUCAUGAGAGAUUUCAGCACCAGAACCAAGCCAGGAUUAAAAAGGAGCCGGACGAUCCUAAACCGAGCAGACUGCAGCAGGAUCCUCCGACAGAAAGAGCGCUUGGCCAGCAUUCAUGAUUAAAAAGUUCUAAUAAAUUGCGUUCGACCGUGAGAGAUCCCUGCACCAGAACCAAGCCGAGAUUAUAAGGGAGCUGAGCGGACCGCGGCAGGAACCUCCGACAGACUAUUGACCACUGUUGGUGAAGACUUGGGUUUCGUCGGAGACACGAUAAAAAAAAAUCUUCCUCUUCAAGUUGCGUAAGUACUCUGUCUUUAUUAUUCCCAUCAUAUCUGAUUUGUCUUUAACUGUCCAUAGUAUGCCUCUACAUAUAUAGUCAUUAUUUAUCUAUUAGUACUUUAUACCUUUAUAUAACUAUUAGUACUUUAUCUUCAUAUAACUAUUGCUAUUGUUAGUUUAGAGUAAUCACAUUGAUCUGAUUACUGGCUUGAUUAUUUAUAUUAUAAAUUUUUGAACCUCUACUAUUCAGGUUAGAAUUAUUUACAUGAUUCUAUUUAGUUAUGCCUAUAUAGUAGAUUAUAAUUGUGUAUAGUAGUUAUAAUUGAUAAAGUAAAGGGUAAUUUUAGUUUUAUUAUGUGUAUUAUGUUAAUUUUUUUGAGUGCAAUUUUCAUAUUUUCCUUUGGGCCCAUGUUUAUUAAAAUUCUUUCUGUUUAACUUUAGCUUGCAGGCAGCGCCCUUCUCGCUCAUCUGGCCUGAGGAUCCUUCUGAAAGCAGUUGCUUAUACCCUGCCUGAUCCAAGUCGCCACAAUCAUUGCCUUUUCAGCGCACUUAUUCCUCUAAGGAUGGUUUGUCAGUGUAGAAAUCGCAUCAAUGGAUUUGCAGUGAGCUCAUCGGGACACCAGAUAUAAGAACUUCAGGAUCAUGGAUAUGGAAGAGGAGCUAAGUGAUUGUGAAGAUGAGCAGACCACAGUAGAAGCAACUCCAUGGGUGAAGCCUACAAGAAAAGAACCUUCUCCCGUCCUCGUGUUGAAUGAAAUGGAAGAGGCCGAAAGAGUGGGGCGUUUUUGUCGAACUCUUAAAUAUAAACUGAAGUCAGUUUGCCGUUCCAAUGAAAUGGAUUUAAAUGCUGAAAAGGUGUCGACCCUCAGCGCAGACGUCACCAAGGAUGCCAUUGAAACAGCGCACAAAAAGCAUGUGUGUAUACUAUGCGGUAUGGAAUAUGCCCGAAAACCCAACCUGGUUAGUCACAUGAGGAUCCACACUGGAGAAACGCCGUACAAGUGUGAGAUCUGCGGAAAGUGUUUUAGACGCAGCGACUGGUUAUUACAGCACACGAAUAUGCACCAGAACAAAAGACGGGCGUCUCGAGAUCCCAGGAGGAGGCGGUGCUACUCUUGUGAGUUCUGCGAGAAGAAGUACUAUUGUGGAAAAGCUUUCGAGAGGCACGUGCGCACACACACGGGUGAGAGACCUUACCCCUGCGCCAUAUGCGAGAAGCGUUUCUACGAUGAAGGCUGCCUUAAAACACAUUUAAUGUGCCACUCGGACGACCGCCCGUUCACGUGCUCCGAUUGUGGCCACAGUUUUAAGCGUUUGGGAACGCUUACUAAGCACAGGCGCAUUCACACGGGAGAAAAAGCCUAUUCGUGUAAAACCUGCGGGAAAAGGUUUCGCUACAAAUACAGCGUGACGCUGCAUUUGAAAACUCGAUGCUCCCGACGCUCAUGAGGCGAAGAAGCUACUUUCAUUGUACGGCAUCAGAAAACAACUUGUAACGAUCAAGGUGUCUUUUGUAAGACGAAUGUAACCAAAUAUGUUAAUCAGAUUGAUUGAAGGAGAUUGGAGCCGUGUUCACAAAGAUUCUUAGAAUUCUCUCAGAGAGCUCCUAUCUUAGCUUAAAAAGUCCUAGCUGUGAGUCCUAGACUAAAAGUGAUUAAGGAAACUUCUCAGAGAAUCUCUGAGUAAGGAAAGUACGAAAACUUUUAUCUUAGUAAGGAGGUGUCCUAAAUUUGAAGGGAAAUUCUAAGAAAACGUUAUAAGUCUAAGAAUUUUCUUAGAAUUUCAUCAAGAGCAGAAACUUUUAGGCUUAAGAAACUUUGUGAAUACGGGCCCAGAUCCUCGGGUGGAUGUUUGAGACACGUGUGUUAAGGUCAUUCUUCUGACGGCCCAAAAUUAAUUACUAAACACGUGAACUAUUAGAAAUUUAGGAUGAGGUACUCUAAAUGCUAUAUGGGGAAGUUAGAUGUUUUUCUGUUUCAUUUAACCAUGGCCCAGUGAUGUCCUUGAGAUGCGAUUGCAGCUGUGUGUAUCCAUGCUGUCUGAAGGGGAAAUUCGUAACUCGCAUUGUUUUGCUGAUAACGUCUGAGGUGACCCUGAGUGGCGUCUCUAUUAAAGAUAGUAAGUGUGAGAAUGAACCUUGAGAUGAACCUUGUUUACUGCAUCGUAGAUACAAAUCUGUGUGGGAAAAAAAGUGUGGAAAGUUUCAGAAAUUUGUUUGAAUGAAGAAAACAAAGAUUUUG